GUGCGGGCGUCGAAAUGAUGUACCAAACAAUGUCAAACUCCGAAUACCUGUAAUGUCAUUAUCCAGCAGUGAGGCUAUGAGUGAUAAGAUCCAUGGCCAAGAGGGAAACAGCCCAGAACGCCAGUUAAGGUCCCUAAUAUAUGCUAAGUGGUUAAGGAGGUAGAGUUACUGAGACAACCAGGAGGUUGGCUUAGAAGCAGCCAUCCCUUGAAAGAGUGCGUAAUAGCUCACUGGUCAAGUGACUCCGCGCCGAAAAUACACCGGGACUAAAGCAUAUAACCGAAGCUGCGUCAUAUAGUUUACUAUAUGGGUAGGGGAGCGUACUGUAGUAAGACGAAGCUAGAGUGAAAACACUAGUGGAUGAGGCAGUAGUGAGAAUGUCGGCAUAAGUAGCGAAAACAUUGGUGAGAAUCCAAUGCACCGAAAACCUAAGGUUUCCCACGGCAGGCUCGUCCGCGUGGGGUUAGUCGGAUCCUAAGCUCAGGCCAAACGGCGUAGGCGAUGGACAAUAGGUUGAUAUUCCUAUACUAUCUGAUAAUCGUUAUCAGAAGCGGAGGGACGCAAGAGGAUAAGCACGCAGUCGAAUGGAAGAGACUGUAUAAGCGUGUAGCUAGGUUUGACAGGAAAAUCCGUCAAAUCGUUAAUGUGAGGCGUGAUGUGGAGAGUCUACGGACUCGAAGGUGUUGACUCCAAAUUGCCAAGAAAAUCUUCGCUCUCGAGAUUAUUGGGUAUCCGUACCGUAAACCGCCACAGGUAGGUUGGUAGAAAAUACUAAGGUGCGCGAGAGAACUCUCGUUAAGGAACUCGGCAAAAUCACCUCGUAACUUCGGGAGAAGAGGUACCCUGGUAGCGUGAAGCGAUUUACUCGUGAAGCGUGAUAGGGUCGCAGUGAAUAGGCCCAAGCGACUGUUUACCAAAAACACAGGUCUCUGCUAAGUCGAUCAAGACGAUGUAUAGGGGCUGACGCCUGCCCGGUGUCGGAAGGUUACGCGGAAAUGUUAGAAGCAAUUCAAAGCAUCGAAGCUAAGCCCCGAUGAACGGCGGCCGUAACUAUAACGGUCCUAAGGUAGCGAAAUUCCUUGUCAGGUAAGUUCUGACCCGCACGAAUGGCGUAACGAUUUGGGCGCUGUCUCGGCGAGAGGCUCGGCGAAAUUGGAUUAUCCGUGAAGAUACGGAUUACGCGUACCAGGACAGAAAGACCCUAUUGAGCUUUACUGUAGCUUGAAAUUGAAUUCGGGUUCUCAUUGCGCAGUAUAGGUGGGAGACUAAGAAGCUUGAACUUUGGUUUAAGUGGAGUCAUCGUUGAGAUACCACUCUGUGAAAAUUUGGAUUCUAACCUUGAUCCCUCAAAGAACAGGGCAAGGGACAGUUUCUGGUA
rnacentral:rRNA from 1 species